GACGAACGCUGGCGGCGUGCCUAACACAUGCAAGUCGAACGGAAAGGCCCUGCUUUUGUGGGGUGCUCGAGUGGCGAACGGGUGAGUAACACGUGAGUAACCUGCCCUUGACUUUGGGAUAACUUCAGGAAACUGGGGCUAAUACCGGAUAGGAUCUCCUGCUGCAUGGUGGGCGUUGGAUAGUUUCGGCGGUUGGGGUUGGACUCGCGGCUUAUCAGCUUGUUGGUUGGCUAGUGGCUUACCAAGGCCUGGACGGGUAGCCGGCCUGGGAGGGUGACCGGCCACAUGGGGAGUGAGUGAGGCCCCAGUCUGCUACGGAAGGCAGGGGGGGGAAGGAUGGCACAGGGAGCGGAAGCAGGAGGAAGCAAGCCGUGGGGCGGGAGGCCGGCUUGCGGUUGGGAAACCAAGUUCGCUUACACGGAAGGGUAAUGACGGUAACGGGAGAAGAAGCACCGGCUAACUACGUG
rnacentral:rRNA from 1 species